UAAUAUAUAUUUUAUUAUUUAAUUUAAUUGCACAAUAAUCCCUACCAAUUUAUUUAAUAGCUUAGUAAUCCUUCUAUUUUAAAUAUAUCCCCAUUCCCUGUUCACGUUCUUCUCUGGUUCGUUCUUCCUUUCCUUUCGCCGGCGGCAACAACAACCUAGCGUGGUGCGGUGGUGGAUCUCCGGCAGUCUAGCCCGCUUCUCCAACCAGCAUGCUGAUUUCGUUUUCCUCUUCUCCUUAUGUCCUUGUUGAUUUGAUAAGAGAAGGAAGAAGAUGAUUUUACAUUAGAUUGUUUUACAACUUGUAAACUUACGCUUCACGUGUUAAAAAAGAACCAAACUGAAUUGCCAACUGUAACAUCCCGAUCUGACGACUGGCCUCACGGUAACAACACGAGUCUUUUCAGUGCGCUUUGUCCUCACUCGCGCACUUCCCGGGAAAACUUCCCAGGAGGUCACCCAUCACGAUAUUGCUCAAAGGCAAGCACACUUAACCAUGGAGUUCUUAUCAAUUGAGCUCCCGAAAAGAAGUUGCAACUUGUUGUUAUGGGUAGUACAAUCAAAUCAUAUAUGCCCUCCUCAACUGUAUAGUCUAUCCCUACACAGUCUCGGAAUACCUCUUGUUCGGGUGUGAGAUCGGCUCAUUCCUGUGACCCUCCGCCUAGAAGCCUGCCAGGAGCCGCUCCUUGUCCGUGCCUCACUGCACCGGCGAUCACUCCCCGCCCUCGUCAGCCCCGGGUGUCACACCAACUGAAUUUCCAGUUGCAGCUUACAAAAGGGACCAUCCUAUUCGAUCGAUUCAUUUCAGUCGGACUAGACUGGAUUGCAGAUCACUGUGGGGUUCCUAUUGUUGAAGAAUGGAGAAUGCAAAUGUACAAUGUCGUGUCUAAGAACAAGCUCGUGCAGUGGGACUACACUACAGUAGUAUUGCAGUGGGACUACACUACAAUAGCUAGAUUGAAAACAAGUGUAGAUUUUAUUUGUGUGUCAUAGCUUGUUUUGUGGCCUUUGUGCACAAUGUACUUCAUCUUUCUAUCAAGUCUCAAAUUAUAUUCAAUGAAUAAAGCUUAUGCACCUUUGAUUAA